GGAGGAAAGUAGGGGAUCGAAAGACCUUAUGCUUUUGGAGCGGCCGAUGUCUGAUUAGCUAGUUGGUAAGGUAAUGGCUUACCAAGGCGACGAUCAGUAGUUGGUCUGAGAGGACGACCAGCCACACUGGGACUGAGACACGGCCCAGACUCCUACGGGAGGCAGCAGUGGGGAAUUUUGGACAAUGGGCGCAAGCCUGAUCCAGCAAUGCCGCGUGAGUGAAGAAGGCCUUCGGGUUGUAAAGCUCUUUCAGUCGAGAAGAAAAGGUUGUGACUAAUAUUCAUAACUCAUGACGGUAUCGACAGAAGAAGCACCGGCUAACUACGUGCCAGCAGCCGCGGUAAUACGUAGGGUGCGAGCGUUAAUCGGAAUUACUGGGCGUAAAGGGUGCGCGGGCGGUUCUGUAAGUCAGAUGUGAAAUCCCCGGGCUUAACCUGGGAACUGCGUUUGAAACUACAAGGCUAG
rnacentral:rRNA from 1 species